GGGAGAGAGGGAAGGGUGUGGAGAGACGCCGCAGCUUGGGUGGGGGGUGUUGGCUUUAGGGUCUCCCCACACCACUCCACCCCCAGCCUCCUCUGCUUCGGCCAAGCUGAGCUCUUCCGUAGUCCAGUCUCGCAAAUCCUAGGGUUGCCGACAAUUUUGUUUGCAGAAAUCGCCACCGUCAGUACCUUUUUAGGCCACUCAGGUCCAAAGUUGCUUUUGCUUCUCGGCCUGCAGCUCCGCGACCCUCCCCCGCCAUCAUUUUCAUUUCCCAAGAAGUUUCUUUUCACGUUGGGCUAAGUAGCAUGAUAAUUCUGCUGGGAGCUAAACCUUCCCCCUUAACGCUUCCCCCCACCCACCGUUCUUCCGUUGCCUCAGAAUAUAGAGAUUUGACAAUAAACGCGAUUGUUGUUAACGUCCAUACUAUGACUUCCCUCCAUCUCCAGUAAAAGCAAAAGUAGCAUUAAAGGAAAACCUAGAGACCUUUGGACCUUUGGAGUGAGUGAAUGUGUUCUUCUGUUGUUCAGAAAAAAAUAUUACUUAGAUCACUCCAAGGAAACUGGAUCCAAAAACAAAAGAUGGGAAUAAUUAUGGUUGAAGAAUCUCAGAAAAGACAGGACAUCAGAAGAGCCAUCAGAAGUCACCUAGCAACCAGAACUGGUAGCAAAGACAAUUGGAUCCAAUAGUAGCAGCAAUUAAGCCCAGUGAGAGGAUCCAGAAAAACAGAUGAGCAAAUAUCAACUGAAUGAUCCAUCCCAACUUGAUUUAUCCAUCAGCUGAGAUGCCUUGCUUCCCAAGGAACCAACCCAACUAAACAAGGAUUGUUUCAAGGGAAGUCUUUUGCUGUGUAAACCUUGAAGUACCAUAGAAAUGAGAGUGACAUUAUCUCUUAGGUUGUGCUUGACUCCUUUCUAUUGCAUUAAAAAAGAGUCAUCUUGUUUUGACCUCAGAGGAAGAAGACCACUGGCAAGACAUUUUUGAUCAGGAAAAGAAGCUGAUCAUUUCACUCUCUCCCUUCUUCUGACUCCCUAGGUUCUUUUCCUUCCAAAGCUCUCUCAUACUCUACUGUUUGUCAGAUGUGUUCACUCCAAUGAGCAAUGCUUGUGUAUAUAGUGUCUUUCUGUCUUGUAUAUUUUAGCUAGGAGCCUCCAGGCUUCUUGUAAAGUCCUGACAAGGGAAAUCCCAUAAUGAAGGAUUUCACGGAGCUCUACAGACUGAAGGGGGUUUUUCUUCCCAUCUGUCAUUUUACUUUAAGCCUUGACCUCUCUGUUCCCAUGUAAGGCAGUGCUGGAGAAGAGGUCUGAACGCGGUAACCAAAUGGUUGGUCUUGGCCCCCUUGAAUUCUCUGCUGUGUGAACUGGAGCAAUUUGCCAGAGGUCCUCAUGAUACUGAAAUAGGAGAGGAAAAGGAAGCAUAAAAACUGUCCUUCUCAGGGUCUGUUUCAAAAAGGACAUACCUAAGGUUAAAAGAUGAUAAAUGCUAACACUGGAAAGGACCUUAGAGUUCCGUUAGUCCACACCCCAUUUUUGGAAAUAAGAAAAUUGAAGCUCAGAGCAGAAAUGGACUUUUUCAAGGUCACAAAUCCAGUCGUAUGUUUGGGAAGCAGCACUGAUUAAAGAUCAGGGAAUUUUGAAGCUUCCCUUUUGUGGAUCCCUUCUAGCAUUGAGAGGCUCUGUUUUUAUGCUCAUUUCUGUUUAUUGUUUUGUUCUGAUUCAAUGAUAGAAUGCUGGGCCCAAAGUCAAGAAGACUUAUCUUUUCUCAGACACGUACUAACUGUGUGACUUUGGGCAAGUCACCAAACC